UGGGGAAUAUUGCACAAUGGGCGAAAGCCUGAUGCAGCAAUGCCGCGUGUGUGAAGAAGGCCUGCGGGUUGUAAAGCACUUUCGCCGAGGACGAUAAUGACGGUACGCGGAGAAGAAGCUCCGGCUAACUUCGUGCCAGCAGCCGCGGUAAUACGAAGGGGGCUAGCGUUGUUCGGAUUUACUGGGCGUAAAGCGCGUGUAGGCGGGUCGUUAAGUUGGGGGUGAAAUCCCGAGGCUCAACCUCGGAACUGCCUUCAAAACUGGCGACCUGGACCCAAGUAGAGGCAAGUGGAAUUGCGAGUGUAGAGGUGAAAUUCGUAGAUAUUCGCAGGAACACCAGUGGCGAAGGCGACUUGCUGGACUUGUGGUGACGCUGAGACGCGAAAGCGUGGGGAGCAAACAGGAUUAGAUACCCCAGUAGUCCCUGAGCGGGCUGGCAAGGCGCAU
rnacentral:rRNA from 1 species